ACGGCAGAUGAAAUAAAGCCAUCAGCGGCCCACGGGACAGUCUCAAGAGGAGUGACGGUCCCAGUCCUCCGCAGUUGUUGCCGGGGAGCAAUUUGCCCUUGAAUCCAAUACACCACCCCGAUCCUGACAAUUUCAUUUCCCUCCGGCCCACCCCCUGCCCCGAAGAUCUGCUGAAACCGCGACUUCCAUCUCAAGAGGCGGCAGGAUAAUAGUGAAGUGUGGAAAAUGAACAAAGGGGCCGAUUGUGCAUCUCACUUUCCAGUUGUCACAGCAAACUGAGCACAGAGGGGAUGGAGCUGACGACACACGAGAACAGAUGUGGGCAUAAAGGCUGAGAAGGAAGAAAUAACCUGUCCAAGGUUUCACAGCAAGAGAUGGAGCUGCAGUUGGUAGCCAGGCCUCCUGACAUGGAGGUCUCGGACGACAACAGCACGGUAAUGCCUUUCUCUCGCAUGAUCUCACAGCAGCCCUGGAGUGAUGCUGAGAACUGGACCUGGCAGGGUUCAGUCUCUGCCCAUGAAGAAACGAAAGCUCAGGGAGGACAAAGACGUGGCCUAAGGCAUCGAGGAGAAUGCUGGCCAAGGAGGGGACACUGGGGCGCCCCUGCCCCCAGCUCCACACUUGUCCCAGCGUACCCAGCUUCAGGCGAGGUAACAGGGUCCUUCAUGCUCCAGCAAUGGCCAAGAAGUGUGGGACUAGCCUGAAUUUCCAGGCCUUUUAAGAUAAUCGCGGUAGGAAGGCGCAAAUGCUAUGUUUGGGAAAAGUCUCAGUGGUGGGAAUGCUCCCAGUUCCUGGCCGCACCUUCUGGAAUAGAGCUUAUGUCAGCAAGGCCUCACACCCGUGGGUUGUACCAGCAAGGCUACCAGUUGUCUCAAGCCACCUUUGGAACACAGCGGAGUGAAGAUGAAUACGGAAGAUGAAUACGGACAUCGCCAUUUAAUCUCAGCACAUGCUAGCAGCAAGCACCACGACUGACACGAGGUACUUCGUGAAUUGUGGCCCUCCAGCAAAUGGUCUAGACCCUGGGACACCCAAGAUGGAGGCACUGGCAAAUUCAGCGUCUGGUCAGAGACAGUCCAGGUGCUGUCUUCUUGAUGUGUCCUCACAGGGCAGAACAGAAGGGAAGGGACCUCUCUGGGGUCUCUUUUAUAAGGACACCAAUCCCAUUUGGGAGGGUAUCAUCUUCGUGACCUACUCACCUCCUAGAACCAUCAUA